UACAGAGGGUGCAAGCGUUAAUCGGAAUUACUGGGCGUAAAGCGCGCGUAGGUGGUUUGUUAAGUUGGAUGUGAAAUCCCCGGGCUCAACCUGGGAACUGCAUCCAAAACUGGCAAGCUAGAGUAUGGUAGAGGGUGGUGGAAUUUCCUGUGUAGCGGUGAAAUGCGUAGAUAUAGGAAGGAACACCAGUGGCGAAGGCGGCGACCUGGACAGUUACUGACACUCAACUACGAAAGCGUGGGGAGCAAACAGG
rnacentral:rRNA from 1 species